rnacentral:misc_RNA from 1 species
AACGAAAAUACGAAAAAAUAGAAAUAAGCUCUAAUUACAUAUUCAAGUGAUUUAGCAUAGUGUUUGUAGGUAAUAUAUUUUAGUGUAAAUAGAAUAUGGGUCUGUAGCUCAGUUGGUUAGAGCGCACCCCUGAUAAGGGUGAGGUCGGUAGUUCGAGUCUACUCAGACCCACCAGUAAUUUUGGGGCCAUAGCUCAGCUGGGAGAGCACCUGCUUUGCACGCAGGGGGUCAGCGGUUCGAUCCCGCUU